GAAACCGGGGAAGCCUUCGAGGGUGGUAUACAGGUGCUGCAUGGCUGUCGUCAGUUCGUGCCGUGAGGUGUCUGGUUAAGUCCAACAACGAACGCAACCCUUGUGUUUAGUUGCCACUCUCGGUGUUAAACCGGGAAGCACUCUAAACAGACUGCCCGUGCAAGCGGGAGGAAGGUGGGGAUGACGUCAAGUCAGUAUGGCCCUUACGCCCUGGGCUGCACACGUGCUACAAUGGCGAGGUACAAUGGGAUGCAAUGCCGUAAGGUGGAGCAAAUCCUCAAAACUUGCCCUAGUUCGGAUUGGAGUCUGCAACUCGACUCCAUGAAGUUGGAUUCGCUAGUAAUGGCGUAUCAGCUACGACGCCGUGAAUACGUUCCCGGGCCUUGUACACACCGCCCGUCACAUCAUGAAAGCCGUCUGCACCCGAAGUCGCUGAGCCAAUCCUUCACUGGAAGGCAGGUGCCGAAGGCGUGGGUGGUAAUUGGGAUGAAGUCGUAACAAGGUAACCAAGGG
rnacentral:rRNA from 1 species